AUUGAACGCUGGCGGCAGGCCUAACACAUGCAAGUCGAACGAGUGGCGGACGGGUGAGUAAUGUCUGGGAAACUGCCUGAUGGAGGGGGAUAACUACUGGAAACGGUAGCUAAUACCGCAUACCAACGGAUGUGCCCAGAUGGGAUUAGCUAGUAGGUGGGGUAAAGGUUCACCUAGGAGAAGAUCCCUAGCUGGUCUGAGAGGAUGACCAGCCACACUGGAAGUGGGAAACGGUCCAUACUCCUACGGGAGGAAGCAGUGGGGAAUAUUGCACAAUGGGCGCAAGCCUGAUGCAGCCAUGCCGCGUGUAUGAAGAAGGCCUUCGGGUUGUAAAGUACUUGCAGCGGGGAGGCGUUACUCGCAGAGGAAGCACCGGCUAACUCCGUGCCAGCAGCCGCGGUAAUUC
rnacentral:rRNA from 1 species